GGAAGACUCUUCUCAUAUUUCAUGUUAAUAUCUUCCAUGAAAAGUGAUAGCAGCAAGGUGGCUACCAAGAGAAUUUCUUCCCUGUGAUGACUACAACUUGCUCUACAGGAUGAUAUUGAUGAUAACCUCACAAAAUAGGAUCGAGGUUGAUCUAGCCUACUUGCUGAACAUCAGCCUGGACCAAACUGGAGUUAGUUCAAACAGGAGUGCAUCUACCACAGCUAAUGAAGAAGAUAGUGGAGAUAGUGAUGCCAAUUCACCUUUCUCAUGCUACGUCUUGCAACUUCUUGCCGCUUCUCACAGCUCAAAAAUAGUCUUCAGACUACACAACAAGCUCACAACAAAGAAAUGCACUUUACAUCACACAUACGAGUACAUUGCAGGGUUUCAUGAGACAGGAGAUUUUGAAUGUGAGAAAUUCAGUCUUUAAAUAUAUUACUCACAUUAAUGUAGCUUCCUUCCCUGAAGUCAUAGAUAUAGAUUUCUCUUGUCCAUAAAUGCUAAAAAGCCAGAGGAUAUACAAAGGAGAGGAGUACUUUUCCUUGUACUUUUCAAUUUUUUUCUUUUUUCUCUUACCCACUCUUUCACCAGAUGAAAUGAAACAGCUCUGUCUUCUUUCAUAGUCUCAUAAUGUGGAAGACUCCAGGUCUAGUUCUCCAAAGAAAAAUAACUGGUGAUGAUGAACUAGAAAAGGGAAAAACAGUGGAGAAUGAAAAGGGUGCCCUUGAGCUAAAGGAGAUUUUUGUUUGUGCCUUCUGCAGCAGAAAGCUCUAGGCCGCAUGUCCUGCAGGCUCUGUGCAUUCCUGAAGUAAGUCCUCAUCUCUUCCCUGACAGAUUAAAUGAUCUGUGCUUUGGAUCAGAAAUUUCUUUUAGGAUACUGCCUCUUUAGAUUCCUUUUUCCCACAGGGAUCUGGUGGGAAUUUUGUUCCUAGAUGCUGUUUGAGGAUCUGGACUGAAGACAGUAAUAGAUGCUUGGUUCUGUUUGGCCUUACCAGCACCCCAAAGCCUGGUUCAUUUUUUGCUGUUCCCUGAAAGAAACCUUUUUGUUGAGCUCCUGAGCUCUCAGUGAGGUUCUGUGUUCGUAGAUAUACUGGUGUGCAAUAACAAUGAGAUAAUGUUGCUUGGUUCCUAAUCUUGGAAGUGUAUAGUGUACCAGAUUUUUGUUCCAUUAAUUGCAUCACAAUUCUCAGCUAUAUUUUUUUCCUCAGUGGUGUAUAUAUAUAUAACUAUUAAACAGAUUAAGGAUAUUGGGUUUCACUCUUCUAGUAAAGGCACUCCCCUCAUGUUUUAGAGAGCAUUGCAAAUACAGGGCAAAAGAAGGUGUACAGAAAAAUAGGGAUCCUACUUUUAGCAUCCUCCUAUGUAAAAAGGGCAGAACAAGUAAAUCAAUACUAUAUACUGAAGAUAAGCUUUUAAAUAUGUAGCUACAUGGAGUGUUCAACACUUAUUGUAAUUGCUUCAGUUAAAGACAGAUGAUAAAAUCUUACUUUUGUAUAUUGAUCAGGAUGCUUUUUCCCACCUUUUAUUCAUGUAGCUUAGAAAACAUCUGUAUUUUUCUCUUGCCGUGUUGCAUGAGCUUAUCUUUAAUAGCACAUCCAGUUGCUGGAAAAGUUAUUGUUUUUCCUCAUACCAGAGAUUAGUGAUGUAGUCUGAGAAAUCAGAGGGAUCAGAUGAGCACAGUAAAUAAAAAUUUUGUUCUCAUUAUGAUAUCCUGCUAA
ensembl:lncRNA